rnacentral:rRNA from 1 species
GGGCCCGCACAAGCGGUGGAGCAUGUGGUUUAAUUCGAUGAUACGCGAGGAACCUUACCAGGGCUUAAAUGUAGUAUGACCGGCUUGGAAACAGGCCUUCUCUUCGGAGCAGAUUACAAGGUGCUGCAUGGUUGUCGUCAGCUCGUGCCGUGAGGUGUUAGGUUAAGUCCUGCAACGAGCGCAACCCCUAUUCUUAGUUGCCAGCGGUUCGGCCGGGGACUCUAAGAAGACUGCCAGCGCAAGCUGAGAGGAAGGUGGGGAUGACGUCAAAUCAUCACGGCCUUACGUCCUGGGCUACACACGUGCUACAAUGGCCGGUACAGAGAGCAGCCACUUCGCAAGAAGGAGCGAA